ACCUCAAGUCAUGUGAGAGUACCCGCUGAACUUAAGCAUAUCAAUAAGCGGAGGAAAAGAAACUAACAAGGAUUCCCCUAGUAACGGCGAGUGAAGCGGGAAGAGCACAAAUUUAAAAUCUACCUGGUUUUUAGGUCGAGUUGUAAUUUGAAGAUACGUUUUUGACGUUCUGGGUUGGACUAAAUCCUUUGGGAUAAGGUAUCAUAGAGGGUGAGAAUCCCGUAUAUACCAACCGUAGGGAUGUUAUUAAAUACGUUUCUAAGAGUCGAGUUGUUUGGGAAUGCAGCUCUAAAUGGGUGGUAAAUUUCACCUAAUGCUAAAUAUAAGCGAGAGACCGAUAGCGAACAAGUACAGUGAUGGAAAGAUGAAAAGAACUUUGAAAAGAGAGUUAAAUAGUACGUGAAAUUGUUGAAAGGGAAACGAUUGAAGUCAGUCAUGCUGGUGGGAAUCAACUUAGGGGAAACUCUGGGUGCACUUCUUCGCUUGGCAGGUCAACGUCGAUUUUGAAUGUCAUAAAAUAAUUGGGGGAAAGUAGCUCCUUCGGGAGUGUUAUAGCCCUUGAUAGAUGUGAUGUUUGAGGUCGAGGAUUGCAACGGAUACCCUUCGGGGCUAGCUGCCUGAUCUCUAAUUGGUGUUGGGUUAUGGAUAGCAUGCUGACCGUGAUCUAAUUACUGGUUAAAAGGUUAGAGUGUGCAUAAAUUCAUUAAGGACGUUGACGUAAUGGCUUUAAACGACCCGUCUUGAAACACGGACCAAGGAGUCUAACAUGUAUGCGAGUGUUAGGGUAUUAAACCCAGACGCGAAAUGAAAGUGAGUGUAGGUGGGAUCCUUUAUUGGAGCACCAUCGACCGAUCAUGAGAUUUAUCGAUAGAAUUGAGUUAGAGC
rnacentral:rRNA from 1 species